rnacentral:tRNA from 10 species
UGGGGCGUCGCCAAGCGGUAAGGCACCGGUCUUUGGAAUCGGCAUUCGUUGGUUCGAAUCCAGCCGCCCCAGCCA